rnacentral:tRNA from 1 species
GCCCCCGUAGCUCAGUAGGAUAGAGCAGGGCACUCCUAAGGCCAAGGUCGGUGGUUCAAUUCCGCCCGGGGGCGCCA